GAAGUGUCAGUGUUACCCGCUUUGGGAUACGAUCUCGAAUGUCUCCUCCAAGAAAGGAUUAAACCGUGUGCAAGAAUCCAAGAGACUAUUCUUGAAGCCCUUAUUGCUGCAGGCAGUGCUGACACAUUGUACUGGUGGCCCCACAGUGUGACGUAUUCUGUAGUUGGAGAUACUGGGGGCUACAAUCUUCGAGACGGAAAGUGCUGAUAAAUGAAGGCGCAUUUCUUGUCUUGCUGCCGCAUAUAUAUUGAACCAAUAUCUUGUAUGAGUUCUCUGUUUUA